GACGGGACCGCACAAGCGGUGGAUGAUGUGGUUAAUUCGAUGCAACGCGAAAACCUUACCCACCUUUGACAUGGCAGGAAUCCCGAAGAGAUUUGGGAGUGCUCGAAAGAGAACCUGCACACAGGUGCUGCAUGGCUGUCGUCAGCUCGUGUCGUGAGAUGUUGGGUUAAGUCCCGCAACGAGCGCAACCCUUGCCAUUAGUUGCUACGAAAGGGCACUCUAAUGGGACUGCCGGUGACAAACCGGAGGAAGGUGGGGAUGACGUCAAGUCCUCAUGCCCCUUAUGACCUGGGCUACACACGUGCUACAAUGGUUGGUACAACGAGUUGCGAGUCGGUGACGGCGAGCUAAUCUCUUAAAGCCAAUCUCAGUUCGGAUUGUAGGCUGCAACUCGCCUACAUGAAGUCGGAAUCGCUAGUAAUCGCGGAUCAGCACGCCGCGGUGAAUACGUUCCCGGGCCUU
rnacentral:rRNA from 1 species